UACGUAGGUGGCAAGCGUUGUCCGGAUUUACUGGGCGUAAAGAGCGCGCAGGCGGUCGUUCAAGUCGCGUGUGAAAGCCCCCGGCUCAACUGGGGAGGGUCACGCGAUACUGAUCGACUCGAAGGCAGGAGAGGGAAGUGGAAUUCCCGGUGUAGUGGUGAAAUGCGUAGAUAUCGGGAGGAACACCAGUGGCGAAGGCGGCUUCCUGGACCGAUUACUGACGCUGAUGCGCGAAAGCUAGGGGAGCAAACGGG
rnacentral:rRNA from 1 species